AUUGAACGCUGGCGGAAUGCUUUACACAUGCAAGUCGAGCGGCAGCGCGGGGCAACCUGGCGGCGAGCGGCGAACGGUGAGUAAUGCAUCGGAACAUGUCCAUGUCGUGGGGGAUAGCCCGGCGAAAGCCGGAUUAAUACCGCAUAAGCCCGGGAGGGGAAAGCAGGGGACCGCAAGGCCUUGCGCGAGUGGGUUGGCCGAUGUCCGAUUAGCUUGGUGGUGAGGUAAAGGUUUACCAAGGCGAUGAUCGGUAGCUGGUCUGAGAGGAUGAUCAGCCACACUGGGACUGAGACACGGCCCAGACUCCUACGGGAGGCAGCAGUGGGGAAUUUUGGACAAUGGGGGCAACCCUGAUCCAGCCAUUCCGCGUGAGUGAAGAAGGCCUUCGGGUUGUAAAGCUCUUUUGUCCGGAGCGAAACGGUGGCGGUGAAUAUCCGCCACUACUGACGGUACCGGAAGAAUAAGCACCGGCUAACUACGUGCCAGCAGCCGCCGUAA
rnacentral:rRNA from 1 species